rnacentral:pre_miRNA from 1 species
GUGCCAGGGGGGCAGUGCCAGGGGGUCAAGGCCUGGCCCUUGAGCCUGAUCCCCUAGCAC